rnacentral:tRNA from 1 species
GUCUAUGUAGCUUAAUGGUUAAAGUGCUGCACUGUCAAUGCAGAGAACAGGGUUCAAUUCCCUCAUAGACU